rnacentral:rRNA from 1 species
AGCAGCCGCGGUAAUUCCAGCUCCAAUAGCGUAUAUUAAAGUUGCUGCAGUUAAAAAGCUCGUAGUUGAAUUUCGGGAUCAAUAUGUUGGUCGUGCCUUGGUGCGUACUAGUUUAUUGAUUUCUCCCUUCUGACGAACUAUGAUGCCAUUAAUUUGGUGUCAUGGGGAAUCAGGACUGUUACUUUGAAAAAAUUAGAGUGUUUAAAGCAGGCUCACGCUUGAAUACAUUAGCAUGGAAUAAUAAAAUAGGACGUUUGAUUCUAUUUUGUUGGUUUCUAGGAUCGACGUAAUGAUUGAUAGGGAUAGUUGGGGGCAUUAGUAUUCAAUUGUCAGAGGUGAAAUUCUUGGAUUUAUUGAAGACUAACUACUGCGAAAGCAUUUGCCAAGGUAUGUUUUCAUUAAUCAAGAACGAAAGUUAGGGGAUCGAAGACGAUCAGAUACCGUCGUAGUCUUAACCAUAAACUAUGCCGACUAGGGAUCGGAUGAUGUAAUUUUUAAUGACUCAUUC